rnacentral:lncRNA from 1 species
GGGGCGACCAAGAGACAAGAAUCUGCUAAGGUUGAUUCGCAAACUCUCACACAAUAUGACAUCACCAGAUUCCAACCUUUCAACAUUGCUCCCUUCAAGUAUCUUUAAAUAAAAAAUAAAUUGAAACAUAGAAAACCAAUAUAUAUAUAUAUAUAUAGGAAUGCAUCUGAUGAUGGGCUUUGGCCUACCACAAAGGGAAGAAAGCAACAACUCACCAAUGGUGAUAGGUG